UAAAUAGUCCAAAAAGUAGGUUAUGUUCCAUACACUUGAAUUCAGGUCCAAUUUUCAGUCCAAACAUUUGAAAACAGAAAAGUUCCAAUUGAGGUGUUAUACGGAAAAAAACACACAUAGAGCAAAAUUGUGUUUUGAGAAAAUCGCAUUUCAAGUUUUUAGUUUGGAUAGAUCAAUGUAUUUUAUAUAUAAUUGAAUUAAACAUUCUGUUAGUACCAAAUCUAAAUUCAAUAUAUUGAAUAUAUUGAAUGAUCUCAUGUUGAUUAAGAAUGAUACAUGAUUAUAUUUCUAAUUUAUUCCAACAAAUAUGUUUGAAAAAUUGGUUGUAUGUGCCCUUCAUCCAAAGCCAAAUUUAUUCUGUACAAAUUUGGGUUUGAUAAACUAGAAAGCACGUGUUAUUCAAUGCUAAAUGCUAUAUUUCUCUUGAGUUAAAAAAUUAUAUACAUAUAAAAAUUUUUUCGAUCAUUCUAUUAAAAUAGGGGUAGGGCAUCACUUGUGGUUGAAUGUCAGGAACAGGACCAUUCAAGAAUUUGAAUGGUUUGAAAUUCACAGUAUUGAAGUUUUCAGAGCACAGCAGAUAACCAUUUUAUUCUAUCUUUAUAAUAAAAUAGUUCCUGAUAGUGAACUUAUUUGACUUUGAUGUAGGUUUGGACAUAAACAUAGGAAGCAAUAGUCUCACUGACCACCAAAUCCCUCCUUGACACAGCUGUUUAUAAACAGUUGUACCAACAUCAGUUUUAAAGAUUUUUGUUUGAGAUUUUCAGGUUAUAUGCAGAACAAGAUGGCCGAUCUAAUAAAGCAAUCCCCGGAAAAAGGGCAUAUAGUUCUAUGUGCCCUUUUUCCAUUUACCGCCUCAAUUUAGAUUGUUUACAAACCGAAUUGAAUAACAAAAUAACCCUCACUAAUCACUUAAAACUGUAAAAUAAUUAUUAUUAACUUUGAAAAUUCUGAUAUACUUCAAUUUAGAAUGAUAUACCAUGUUAUGUCAACAAAUCAAAUAUUUCGAUCAAGUUGAUUGAAAUUUCCCCAGCAGUUGAGUGCAUCUGCUAAAAAAGUUUUAUGGUUGAAGGAUUAAAAGACAAAUUUGGAAACAUUGCAAAAAUAUGUUUUUAUUUCUAAUAUAAUUAUUAUUUUCGAUCAAUAAUGGAUAAUUUUACCUUCCAAACCCUCAAGGUUUCUUUAUUUUUUAGGUCGUGUUUAUAUUUUUACAGCUGGCUAUAGGUCAGUUAAUGAGUUUUGGGGAUGAGAUAUUUUGAUUUUCCACAGACGCACUGGCUCACUCACUUUUAUUAUCCACAGACGACGAAAAUCUCAGCUGUUUUUCUAAGGAUUAAUUAUCCUCUUAAUGUCCUUCUAUCCGGAGAAGUUCCUGUUCUAUUGAUCGUUCUAGUUCCUCAUCAUUAUUGAAGUAUUACUAUAAACCCAAUAUAGUAAUAUUGGGUAUAAACUUUUUCCUCCAAGUAACCCCAUAAAAAGAAGUCAUAAAUCACAAUUUGAUCGGGGUGGCAAAUCUAAAAAAUAACUUGCUCGACCAAUCCAACGGCCAUGAAGUUUGUCAUUUAGUAAUUGCUUGACAUGAUUUGCGAAAUGAGGUGGAGCACCAUCUUGUUGGGAGAUUGCUUGAUUCAUUUCUGGUACCAUCAAAUGACGCAAGA